GGCGAGAUCAAAUAAUGGUAGUUUAUUGGGCUCAUGCCCCAAAGGUGUACGGUUCGAAUCCUACUCUUGCCA
rnacentral:tRNA from 1 species